CAAUAGCGUAUAUUAAAGUUGUUGCAGUUAAAAAGCUCGUAGUUGGAUUUCGGGGCAGCCUGGCUGGUCCGCCGCAAGGCGAGUACUGGUCAGCCGCCCUUCCUCUCGAAAGCCCCGACUGCUCUUCGUUGCAGUGGUCGGGUAGUUCGGGACGUUUACUUUGAAAAAAUUAGAGUGUUCAAGGCAGGCCUACGCCUGAAUACAUUAGCACGGAAUAAUGGAAGAGGACCUCGGUCCUAUUUUGUUGGUUUCCAGGGCCGAAGUAAUGAUUAAGAGGGACAGUUGGGGGCAUUCGUAUUUAAUUGUCAGAGGUGAAAUUCUCGGAUUUAUGAAAGACGAACAACUGCGAAAGCAUUUGCCAAGGAUGUUUUCAUUAA
rnacentral:rRNA from 1 species